rnacentral:snRNA from 1 species
GCUGCCAACAUGAAAUCAUGG